CAGUCGCCACGGUAACACAGAGGGUGCGAGCGUUAAUCGGAUUUACUGGGCGUAAAGCGUGCGUAGGCGGCUUUUUAAGUCGGAUGUGAAAUCCCUGAGCUUAACUUGGGAAUUGCAUUCGAUACUGGUUAGCUAGAGUGUGGGAGAGGAUGGUAGAAUUCCAGGUGUAGCGGUGAAAUGCGUAGAGAUCUGGAGGAAUACCGAUGGCGAAGGCAGCCAUCUGGCCUAACACUGACGCUGAGGUACGAAAGCAUGGGGAGCAAACAGGAUUAGAUACCCGCGUAGUCCCUGUCUCUUAUAC
rnacentral:rRNA from 1 species